CGGAGAGACUCCUCACGACCACUUGCACCGUGUGUCUUGAGGCCUGUACCAACCAAGGCCUGCACCGCGUCAGCUGUAUUCCCUGCGGGCAUUUCUUUGGCAGAUCAUGCCUAGAGAGGUGGCUGAUGACGCGUGGGACCUCUAGCGCUCUGUGCCCUAAUUGCAGAGAAAGUUUUCAGCGUAAGGACAUCAUCAAUCUACACAACUACAUACCAGAAGAAGUCUCACAAAGUUGACGAGUCCUUCGCAGAGCAAUGUGGGGGUAAUUCUGCUACUCAAAAACUUGCCUCUCACAGUCCUGAAGACACUGCCUAAAAGAUAAUUAGCAUGCCGAGGGCUAGGGUCUUCUGUCUUAGCUCCGUUAGUGUUCAUUCAAGCUGUCAUACACGCAUUACAAGAAGACGGGCGUUACUGGAAACUAACUGAUUUUUUGGGUAUGAAAUCUGAGCUAGGAGAACGUUUAACUGAAGAUUUCUACAUCACUGCUCCUGUGCUCCAACCAUUGUUGCUGCAAGCCAUGGUUGCUGGAUUAGGAGAUCCUAAUUCCUAGUACCGUCGACACUAACUAAUGUUCGAGAGAUCUGGUGGUUGAACUGUGGAAAUACAAGCUGGCGGUUACUGAAGACGCUACAGCCUGAAACUCUGCAGGCAAGGGAUGGCAACAUUUCAUAGGGAAUAGUCGAAUAGAGUUUGGUACAACAAUAUUUCACUUGGACCAGUCAUGAGUUGCGCAGCAACACAUCUUCCUCAUCUAGUCUUCUUUCUGCUUUUCUCCACCUGGAGCACAGCUUUUCAAAUGUCACGAUUUCCACAGUUGGUGCGACGUACACACUAGGAUUUUAUGUAAUCACGAAGUCUCAAGUGACAAGCUAACUAAAACGGGGAGGUUACACUCUUAACUUGAUUUCA